GCAAUGACUGAUGUUAAGAAAACUUCAUGUAGGCUUUGCCUUAAAAAUAUAACCGAUAAAAGUUUUGAAGUGAUAGACAACAUUAUCAGAGACAUUCUAUGUGUUCUUUUGCUGAAAUUGAAAUUUGAUAGGUGGAGCAAAGAGAUUAUAUGUAACGUUUGCAGAAGAAAGUUAAAUACUGCGUGAGAAUUUAAGUCAACGUGUCUGAAUACCAAUAAUGCAAUUAUUCCUUAUGUGGAUAGCGAAAAAAUGUUACAGCUGGACAUAAGAGAAGUGUACUUGCAGCAAAAGAAAAGCGAGUUAGUUGAUAUUUCUUGCAGUCAGAAAAUAUGUCGAUUGUGUAUGCACCCAGCAGAAAGUGGGUUUAGGUGCAUACGUGAAGAGGAACUUGAAGCUAUUCAGCGAUUGACUCCUGAAAUUGUUGUAAACAUCGUCAAAGAUCCCAUUGUAUCCACAGAAUGUCAAAUAGAUAUGUCACCACCUGAUUUAUUGGUCAAGACUGAAAACUUGGACAAAGAAUUCGAUAUUAGCGAGAUGAAAAUGUCGAUCAAAGCUGAAUGUGUCAACAUAAAAUCUGAUACCUGUCAUGAUUUAUACGAUUAAAUGUGUACCAUUUGGUGAUAAACUAAUUGUAACAAAUUAUGAUGUUGCUUAUAAGCGAUGUCGUAAAAAUUUUUAUACAAUCAUGAAGAAUAGGUUGACAAAUGAUUUGGGAAAAAUGUAAAAUCAUUAUAAAACAAUCGCGACGCACCACUGCAGAGCUCCAGUAUUGUACCAUUCGAGGAGAGUGACUGUAAAGAUGCAGAAGAGGAUGGAUGUAAAUAUGAGACUGGAUCAGAAAUGAAA